rnacentral:rRNA from 1 species
GAUGAACGCUGGCGGCGUGCCUAAUACAUGCAAGUCGAGCGAACGGACGAGAAGCUUGCUUCUCUGAUGUUAGCGGCGGACGGGUGAGUAACACGUGGAUAACCUACCUAUAAGACUGGGAUAACUUCGGGAAACCGGAGCUAAUACCGGAUAAUAUUUUGAACCGCAUGGUUCAAAAGUGAAAGACGGUCUUGCUGUCACUUAUAGAUGGAUCCGCGCUGCAUUAGCUGGUUGGUAAGGUAACGGCUUACCAAGGCAACGAUGCAUAGCCGACCUGAGAGGGUGAUCGGCCACACUGGAACUGGGACACGGUCCAGACUCCUACGGGAGGCAGCAGUAGGGAAUCUUCCGCAAUGGGCGAAAGCCUGACGGAGCAACGCCGCGUGAGUGAUGAAGGUCUUCGGAUCGUAAAACUCUGUUAUUAGGGAAGAACAUAUGUGUAAGUAACUGUGCACAUCUUGACGGUACCUAAUCAGAAAGCCACGGCUAACUACGUG